AUUGAACGCUGGCGGCAUGCCUAACACAUGCAAGUCGAACGGCAGCAUGAUCUAGCUUGCUAGAUUGAUGGCGAGUGGCGGACGGGUGAGUAACGCGUAGGAAUAUACCUUAAAGAGGGGGAUAACUUGGGGAAACUCAAGCUAAUACCGCGUAAGUUCUGAGGAAGAAAGCUGGGGACCUUCGGGCCUGGCGCUUUAAGAAUAGCCUGCGUACGAUUAGCUAGUUGGUGAGGUAAGGGCUCACCAAGGCGACGAUCGUUAGCUGGUCUGAGAGGAUGGCCAGCCAAACUGGGACUGAGACACGGCCCAGACUCCUACGGGAGGCAGCAGUGGGGAAUAUUGGACAAUGGGGGAAACCCUGAUCCAGCAAUGCCGCGUGUGUGAAGAAGGCCUGAGGGUUGUAAAGCACUUUCAGAGGGGAGGAGGGAUGACAGGUUAAGAGCUAGUUAUUUGGACGUUACCCACAGAAGAAGCACCGGCUAACUCCGUGCCAGCAGCCGCCGUAA
rnacentral:rRNA from 1 species